rnacentral:rRNA from 1 species
GACGAACGCUGGCGGCGUGCUUAACACAUGCAAGUCGAACGGAAAGGCCCUGCUUUUGUGGGGUGCUCGAGUGGCGAACGGGUGAGUAACACGUGAGUAACCUGCCCUUGACUUUGGGAUAACUUCAGGAAACUGGGGCUAAUAUCGGAUAGGAGCUCCUGCUGCAUGGUGGGGGUUGGAAAGUUUCGGCGGUUGGGGAUGGACUCGCGGCUUAUCAGCUUGUUGGUGGGGUAGUGGAUUACCAAGGCUUUGACGGGUAGCCGGCCUGAGAGGGUGAGCGGCCACAUUGGGACUGAGAUACGGCCCAGACUCCUACGGGAGGCAGCAGUGGGGAAUAGUGCACAAUGGGCGGAAGCCUGAUGCAGCAACGCCGCGUGCGGGAUGACGGCCUUCGGGUUGUAAACCGCUUUCGCCUGUGACGAAGCGUGAGUGACGGUAAUGGGUAAAGAAGCACCGGCUAACUACGUG